CACAAGCCCAGCAGCAGCAGGGGGGUGGAUAGAUCGUAGCACAAUGAAUGCAGUGGGGUUUUUGCAAUGACAUCAUCCCUCUGUCCAAAAGGCCCCAAUAGCCAUGCUCAGGAGCGCUGCCUUCUGGGUACUGUAGUCUUCUUCAAGCCUGGCCGGGACCUUGAGGCUGCUGUCGGAACUACAAUGCCCAGAAUGCGCCGAGGUCGGACGCACCCAGAGCGAACUCUGGCAGCGAAGGAAGCUCGGCCGCCAUAUUGGGGGAGCCAGGCGAUUCUGCGGAGCCGGCUGAGGCUUUAGGCAGCGCGGGAGGCGAGUGGUGGAGCAUUGGGGACGGUUUCGGACCCUCGUUGGUUUUUCAUGCAGAGGGAUUUGCAAAAGGGUCUAAGGAAAUCGAUGUUGGAAGGUAGACAAGCUGCAAAGGGUCGGACGGUGCUUUGGGACCGCAGUUAAGGAAGGAUAAGGAGCGGCCUAAAGGAUAAACACGCCCGGGUUAAAAUGGCAUCUUCAUACCUGCCAGCAAAAGCGGGGAGAGGUUGGAUGGGGAUAUUAUUGACGGCUGGCGAUCGAUUGCCAAGUAGCACAGGUUCUUGGAGUCUGUCUACACUGUGGAAAGAUGGGAGAUUUCUUUUCCUCCUGAGGGUGUCUGAAGGGUUAAAAAUGCUGAUAUACUUUAUGCUGUUUGACUUCCUCCGUUUUGCACCUCGUUCUGAAAACAAAAGUCACUAGUUAUUUUGAGUCAGUAAGCCAUGCAGUUUUGGGAAAGAGCAACCUGUUGGAGUCUGCUGCUCAUCUCUGAAAUGAGGGUGAUUAAUGCCAGUACCUAUCUCACUGAGAAGAGUUUACAUGAUACUAUUGAACAUUCACUGUGUGCACAGAGAUGCUGAGCUAAACUCUUUACAAGAAAUUUAUUUAAUCUUUACAAUAUACUAGUGUGGUAGAGGCUUACUCAUUUUCAGCAAAACAUUUCCUUUUCUUCCUGGACACACAAAAGGACUACAUUUCCUGACCUCCCUUGAAGCUAUAUUAUUGUGUCCUGCCAGUGAGAUAUGGGCAGAAGUAAUGAACACCACCUCCAAGCCUGACCCAUGAACCUUUCCCUUGAAAGCCUCUAUGUUCUCUUCCAUCAUCUGUCAGAGGGACCAGCAGAACCAUUGAGUGCAAGGGCCUCUCUUUUCUCCUCCCCACCUCUAACCUGUAUUGGAUUAUGAUAUGAGCCAAAAAUAAACUCUUGUUAUGUUAAA